GGCCGGGGCCCAGGGUUAGGGUUUUAGGGUCAGGGCCCGGGGCCCAGGGUUAGGGUUUUAGGGUCAGGGCCCGGGGCCCAGGGUUAGGGUGAUUUCCAGGAAGUGACCUCACAACGAUUCAAGCUACCACUUACUGUUGAUUGUGAUGAAAUGCCAGCUGAGGCACACGCCUUGGGAGCUAAGUGGUUGCUGCCCUUGACUACUAUGAAGACUCUUGUGGGAAGGGUCGCUUUGGAUGCACUUGAGCAGGGGUCCCCAACCCCUGAGCCAUGGAGUCGUAAGGAGGCACACAGCAGGUGAGUGGUGUCGAGUGAGGGAGUGAGGGAAGCUUCGUCUGUAUUUACAGCCACUCCCCUUUGCUCACAUUCCCGCCUGAGCUCCACCUUCUCAGAUGAGCAGCAGCAUUAGAUUCUCAUAGGAGAACGCACCCUGUUGUGAACCGUGCAUGUGAGGGAUCCAGGUUGCGCUGUUCUUAUGAGAAUCUAAUACCUAUUGAUCUGUCACUUUCUCCCAUCACGCUCAGGUGGGACCAUCCAGUUUCAGGAAAACAAGCUUAACACGCCCACUGAUUCUACAUUAUGCUCCUACCUCCCGGCAGCCUCUCCAGGCCCAGAACUCUCUCCAGUCAGCCUCUACAGACCAAGCUCAUGACUCACAAUGGCCUAUUGAGGCCCAUACCCUACCUCACGGCAGUCUCCGCAGAUGAGCCUACUGCCUCACAACAGCCUCCACAGGCACAGCUCCAUCGUUACAAUGGCCUCUUUAGACCCAGCUCCUGCCUCCCAGCCUUCUCUCCAGGCCCUGAACUUUCUCCGUGGGACCAUCCAGUUUCAGGAAAACAAGCUUAACACGCCCACUGAUUCUACAUUAUGCUCCUACCUCCCGGCAGCCUCUCCAGGCCCAGAACUCUCUCCAGUCAGCCUCUACAGACCAAGCUCAUGACUCACAAUGGCCUAUUGAGGCCCAUACCCUACCUCACGGCAGUCUCCGCAGAUGAGCCUACUGCCUCACAACAGCCUCCACAGGCACAGCUCCAUCGUUACAAUGGCCUCUUUAGACCCAGCUCCUGCCUCCCAGCCUUCUCUCCAGGCCCUGAACUUUCUCCGGUCUCCCUCUGUUGUCCGAGGCUGGAGGGUAGUAGUGCUAUCGCAGCUGACUGCAGCCUCAACCUUCCAGGCUGAAGCGAUCCUCCCAUCUCAACCUCCCACGUGGCUGAGACUACAGGUGCUUGCCACUAUGCCCAACUAAUAUUUGGUAUUUUCGUACACGUGGAUUCCAGAGGGGUAACAGCGAAACGUGGGACCAUCCAGUUUCAGGAAAACAAGCUUAACACGCCCACUGAUUCUACAUUAUGAUUCUUCAGGCCCAGCAUCUGCCUCACUGUGGACCCCCCAAGCCAAGCUCCCAACCUUUCAGCAGCUUCUACACACCCAGCUCCCGCCUGCCAGUGGCCUCUUCAGGCCCAUGGGGCUCAUUCCUCACAACAGCCUUUCCAGUCCCAGUUUUUCCCUUCCGGCGGCCUCUCCGGGCUGAGAACCUCCUCAAGUCGGCCUCUCCAGACCCACUUGCACCCUCCAGGCGUCCUCUCCGGGCCAAGCUCCUCUUCCUGGCUGCGUCUCCAGGCCCGACUCCUGCCUCUCAACAACCUCUUUGGACUCAGUGCCUACCCAUCUCCUGGCGUCCUUGGUCGGACCACAGCUUCCUCAAGCCAAGCUCCCCAGGCCCAGGUCAGGCCUCACGGUGCCCCCUCCACGAUGAGCUCAUGCCCUCCAAUGGCACCUGCAGGCCCCAAAUGGUCUCCGGUCGGUGGGCUCCUCCACGCCAAGCUUGGGCCUCCCGGUGACCUCUGCAGGCCCAAGUUGUCCUGAAGUCAGCAUCUCCCGGCCGUGCCUCCCAGCAAGUAAGCAAGCUCUUUUGGCUCAACUCCUGCCCAGCUCCCAACCGCCUUUGUAGGUCCCGAACUUUCUCCAGCCAAGUUCUUUGGGCCUCAUUCCUGCAGCCCGGUGGCCUGUACGGGCCCAGCAAUGGUUGGAGAAUGGCCUCUGCAGGUCCCGCUCUUGCCUCCCAGGGGCCUCUCCAGGCCCAGCUCUCGCCCCCACGGCGGCCACCCGGGGCCAAGUCCCUGCCUGCCUCCCAGCAGCCCGCAUGCGGCCCAGCUCCUCCCUCACGGUGGCCUGUUGAUGCCCAUGCCUCUGGUACCCUGCCCAGAGGCAUGAGCCCCUGCCACACACUGGCUCCUCCCACGCUGAGAGAGGUCAGCGUGAGCCCUUGCCUCACACCGGCCCCUCCCACGCUGAGAGAGGUCAGCGUGAGCCCCUUGCCUCACCCCGGCCCCUCCCACGCUGAGAGAGGUCGGCGUGAGCCCUUGCCUCACACCGGCCCCUCCCACGGUGAGAGAGGUCGGCGUCACCCCCUUGCCUCACACCGGCCCCUCCCACGCUGAGAGAGGUCAGCGUGAGCCCUUGCCUCACACCGGACCCUCCCACGGUGAGAGAGGUCAGCGUCAGCCCCUUGCCUCACACCGGCCCCUCCCACGCUGAGAGAGGUCGGCGUGAGCCCCUUACCUCACACCGGCCCCUCCCACGCUGACAGAGGUCAGCCUGAGCCCCUUACCUCACACCAGCCCCUCCCACGCUGACAGAGGUCAGCGUGAGCCCCUUGCCUCACCCCGGCCCCUCCCACGCUGAGAGAGGUCAGCGUGAGCCCUUGCCUCACACCGGCCCCUCCCACGCUGAGAGAGGUCAGCGUGAGCCCUUGCCUCACACCGGCCCCUCCCACGCUGACAGAGGUCAGCCUCAGCCCCUUACCUCACACCGGCCCCUCCCACGCUGAGAGAGGUCAGCGUGAGCCCUUGCCUCACACCGGCCCCUCCCAUGGUGAGAGAGGUCAGUGUGAGCCCUUGCCUCACACCGGCCCCUCCCACGCUGAGAGAGGUCGGCGUGAGCCCCUGCCUCAACAGGCCACCGUGAGGGAGGAGCAGGGUCGCACGAGGGCUGCUGUGAGGCAGGCAGCGACUUGGGCCUGGGAGGUCGUGGUGGGGCGAGAGCUGGGCUUGGAGACUCCCCUGGGAGGCAACAGCGGGGCCUACAGACUCUGUUCUCCAGCCGGAGGUGGGACUGUUCAGGUACUGGGAGGCGGGAUGUGGGUCUGAAGAGCUUGGUUGCAGAAACUUCGGGGUCUACAAACGCAGGCGGGAGCUGAGCCAAAAAAGCUUGUUUGCUGGGAGGCGGGAGAUGCAGCCAGGAGAAACAGGUGUGCCUGCAGAGGCCGCCAUGCGGGAGGCGGAGGCCGGGCCUCCUCAAAUCGGCCUCUCCAGACCCACUUGCAGCCUCCCGGCAUCCUCUCCGGGCCCAGCUCUUCCUCCCGGCUGUGUCUCCAGGCCUGACUCUGGCCUCCCAACAACGUCUUUGGACUCAGCUCCUGCCCAGCUCCCAGCAGGCCCAAGUCGUCGUCAAGUCGGCCUGGAAUUGGGCCCGGAAGAGCAGCAAGUCGGCCUCCCCGGGCCCAGCUCCGUCCUCUCGGCGGCCUCUCCAGGUGCAAAACUUCCUCGAGUCAGCCUCUCCAGGCCCAGCUCCUCCUGCCUCCCAGUGGCCUCUUUCAGCCCAGACCAGCUCAUGGCUCUUGGCGGCCUUCCCAGGCCCCGCUUUUGACUUUUGGUGGCCUCUUCAGGCCCAGAACUUGACCUCCAGUGGGCCUUUGCAGGCCCGGCCUCCUGCCUCUCGAAGGCCUGCACGGGCCCGGACUCACAGCGGACUCACAGCGGACUCUCCAUGCCCAGCUAGCUCUCGCCUCAUUGCGGCCUCCCGAGUCCAAAGCUCCUGCCUCUCGGCCGCUUCGGCAGGCCCAGCUCCCGCCUGCCAGUGGCCUCUUUAGGCCCAGCUCAUUCCUCACAACGGCCUUCCCAGGCCCCGUUUUUCCCUUCCGGCAGCCUCUUGGCCUCUAAUUUGUUUAUCUUUUGUGUAUAAAUCCCAAAAUAUUGAAUUUUGGAAUAUUUCCACCAUUAUGUAAAUAUUUUGGUAGGUGAUUUAUUUGGGGUGAGUUUCUGCACCAAGCCCGAAUUUUUUAUUUUAUUUUCCUUAUUAUUUGGUGUUAAACAGGUUUAAUGACGGUCACGGCAACUGUUUGACACAAUGAAAAAUAUCGCCCAUGA